UCUGCCGCAGCAAUAUUGAUGAUUUACUAGGCGGAGCGUGCAAGGAAUCAACGUGCGUUUGCUCCUGGAAGAUUUAUAUAGGACAACAUUCUUAUUACGCAUGAAAUUUUCUCCUCUUUCAAGGGUAAGAAAGGUAAGUUUGGAGCCAUGGCUAUCAAGCUUAAUUUAAAAAAAGCGUAUGAUUUUCUCAGUUGGGACUAUAUCAAACUAGUACUAAUGAAAUUCCACUAGUAGGAAAAACAGCCUGCGUGACGUAACAUUUUUCGUCACAAAAGAGGUACUGUGUGACGAAAAAAUAUUAUCGUCGCCCAAAAAAGGCAGGAAAGAAAAAAAAAACUUUGCACAACAAAGGCUUCGUCGCGCAAGUUACUGUAAGUUUUGAGUCAAAUCAUUUAGUGCAUGUAAAUUAGAGAAAUCAAUACUGUAUUUAGUAUAGAUGUUUGUGCGACAAAGCUUUUGUUGUGCAAAGGUUUGCGUGACAAGCCUUCGUCGAGCAAAGGCCCUAACCUUCCUAUAAAUAUGAGCUUCUGCUCUUCUUAUUCUCCACAAUUCUGUUCCUGUUGCGAUGGAUGAUAAAAACCGGGAUCAGAGGAUGCUUGCCAACCUGUAUGAUAUGAGGCAACAUGUGGAGUUCGCGCAUGCGAUAGGUGUAGCCAUGCAGAAUAAUUGUCCUAUUGUUGAGUGGCGUUCUUGGAAAUAUGUGCCAGAGAAUUUGAAGAAGGCGGUGAUGGAUCAAUUAUUAUGUAAGUAUACUCUUGAUGAUGAUACGAACAAAGAGUUGAUGAAGUUGAUGGAGGAUGCGUUGAAGGCAAGUUAAAAGCGGUGGCGUUAUAAUGUGGAGCGGAAUGGAAGACCAUC